GAUGAACGCUGGCGGCGUGCCUAAUACAUGCAAGUCGAGCGAACGGACGAGAAGCUUGCUUCUCUGAUGUUAGCGGCGGACGGGUGAGUAACACGUGGAUAACCUACCUAUAAGACUGGGAUAACUUCGGGAAACCGGAGCUAAUACCGGAUAAUAUUUUGAACCGCAUGGUUCAAAAGUGAAAGACGGUCUUGCUGUCACUUAUAGAUGGAUCCGCGCUGCAUUAGCUAGUUGGUAAGGUAACGGCUUACCAAGGCAACGAUGCAUAGCCGACCUGAGAGGGUGAUCGGCCACACUGGAACUGAGACACGGUCCAGACUCCUACGGGAGGCAGCAGUAGGGAAUCUUCCGCAAUGGGCGAAAGCCUGACGGAGCAACGCCGCGUGAGUGAUGAAGGUCUUCGGAUCGUAAAACUCUGUUAUUAGGGAAGAACAUAUGUGUAAGUAACUGUGCACAUCUUGACGGUACCUAAUCAGAAAGCCACGGCUAACUACGUGCCAGCAGCCGCGGUAAUACGUAGGUGGCAAGCGUUAUCCGGAAUUUAUGGGGCGUAAGCGCGCGUAGGCGGUUUUUUAGUCUGAUGUGAAAGCCCACGGCUCAACCGUGGAGGGUCAUUGGAAACUGGAAAACUUGAGUGCAGAAGAGGAAAGUGGAAUUCCAUGUGUAGCGGUGAAAUGCGCAGAGAUAUGGAGGAACACCAGUGGCGAAGGCGACUUUCUGGUCUGUAACUGACGCUGAUGUGCGAAAGCGUGGGGAUCAAACAGGAUUAGAUACCCUGGUAGUCCACGCCGUAAACGAUGAGUGCUAAGUGUUAGGGGGUUUCCGCCCCUUAGUGCUGCAGCUAACGCAUUAAGCACUCCGCCUGGGGAGUACGACCGCAAGGUUGAAACUCAAAGGAAUUGACGGGGACCCGCACAAGCGGUGGAGCAUGUGGUUUAAUUCGAAGCAACGCGAAGAACCUUACCAAAUCUUGACAUCCUUUGACAACUCUAGAGAUAGAGCCUUCCCCUUCGGGGGACAAAGUGACAGGUGGUGCAUGGUUGUCGUCAGCUCGUGUCGUGAGAUGUUGGGUUAAGUCCCGCAACGAGCGCAACCCUUAAGCUUAGUUGCCAUCAUUAAGUUGGGCACUCUAAGUUGACUGCCGGUGACAAACCGGAGGAAGGUGGGGAUGACGUCAAAUCAUCAUGCCCCUUAUGAUUUGGGCUACACACGUGCUACAAUGGACAAUACAAAGGGCAGCGAAACCGCGAGGUCAAGCAAAUCCCAUAAAGUUGUUCUCAGUUCGGAUUGUAGUCUGCAACUCGACUACAUGAAGCUGGAAUCGCUAGUAAUCGUAGAUCAGCAUGCUACGGUGAAUACGUUCCCGGGUCU
rnacentral:rRNA from 1 species